UUAAAACUUGGUAAGGCUCCAGUGGUUCUAAAAUGAUCGGAUGGACACUACGAAAGAACAGUGUCGUGCUCACAAAAGCAGCUGCGGGUCACUUAUGGUUGAAUGGUUAGAGGGACUGUGGUAUCCUCAGCCCAUGAGGGUGCAAGUUCUGGUGCUCGCAUUUAAUUCUGGAUUUAUUUCAGGAUUUCCGGCGAUGCGCAUUUAAUGGGAGGAGGUGUUUUCGUCGACGACGAAGUGUCUACGGUGACUUUGUAAAUUUCAACAUGAUAUGCCGGUUCAGUCUUUCGGAGGUGCUAAUAGGGAUAGGGUGUGCGUGUGUGCGUUCAUAGGGGUGAAUGUAUACGCGUGUAUAUGAGCGCUUGCGUCUGUACUGCGUUAAAAAAAUACAUUUUUUGUGCCUUGGAAAACAGAAGCCUGGAACAUCUUCGGUUAAGUUUCAGGCUUGCUUAUGGGCUUGGACAAGCAAGAGUGCCUAAUUUUGCUCCUGACAGGAGGAAAGGGAUGGGAUGAUCAUAGGAAUAAACUGUAGGAUACAUGCAUGUGUUGGAGAAGGGACGGACGGUGUUAUAAAAGAACAAAUGUGUUUUGGCACAAUGUAAUGUGUUUUUGUUUUACUUUAACAGUUACGUAUAAAAGAACAAAUGUGUUUUGGCACAAUGUAAUGCUUUCUGUUUUACUUUAACAGCUAAAAAGCAAAGGUAUGCGUGAGGGAGCAUGGAUCUUCAUCGGUUUCAGGC
rnacentral:lncRNA from 1 species